GCCAUAUGGAGAUUCCUUGGAAAUCUGGGAAUAGAACCACCAUUUGACACAGACUUUCUUCCUGUAUCUGAGACCCCAGUCUCAGUAGACUUCAGGAUAUGGUGUUCCUGAUGCUUGUAUUAAGAGGUGUAUGAGUGAGAAGGAAAAUACAAGGCACUGCUUCUCUCCAAUACUCACCUGCUAGGAAGCCACAUCAGCAAAGUGAAUCCACGUUUGCCUUCCUAUGCUGCAGGGCUUUGUGACCGUCAUAACUCCCUCAUGCAACAAUGCCAGCUGCUUCUGCUUGUAGGCAGCAACUCUGAGAUCCCUGGCCAAAUAGGAUUCCUGGGAGACCAGAUUGAUGGGAAAGAGGAAGGCUACUGGCUGCAGCUGGGCUAAUGCACUGCCUCUGAGGAGCAUCUAUCGAUGUGCUGCAGAGGAAUUAACUUUGACAUAAUGGAAUUUUGUUUUCACCACUGCUUAUAAAAACAACCGGCCUUGAGCAAA